UUGAGGACGAUGGAGACAAGAGGGGGGGGAGAGAGAGAGAAGAGAGAAAAAGAGGAAGGGGGCAGAAAGGGUCUGCCUUUUAUUUAAACUGUGACGUAACUACUUCCAGGUGAAGGUGGGAGCUAACCAAAUGUAUGCUGGGAAUGUAUGGCCGUUGCCAUGGCAACAGAUGCACUGGUCCCUGUCAGCUGCGGGUGACCAGGUGACAUCACUGCUGGAGGGGAAAGUGGUUCCUGAUACCAACAUUGAAGGCCUUUUAAAAAUGGUCCUCUCUGUGUCGCUUGAGACCCUCACUACUCAAAGCGUGGUCCGUGGACCAGUAGACAUGGCUUUUAUGAAAGAUUGCUAGAAAUGCACAGAGCAUGCUGGGAAACUCUGCCUUACCAUUUUGAUACCAGCAGCAGCGCCCGGAGGCUCCUUAGAAAUACACCCACCUGGACCUACUGAAAACUCUGCAUCUCAACCUGGUACCCAGGUGAGAGAGAUACGGAAGUGAGAAGCUCUGUCCCAGCAGAUUCGAAGCCUCUGCUGGGGUGCGUGAGAAAAGACAGUGGGUACAAAGUUGGCUGAGGCAAGGUGCAGGAAGGAGUGAUGUACCAUGACCCUCUGAAGGAACGGCAUAGUCACAGACAGCACCAUCUACAUAACAUCUACUGAUCAGGUGUUGCAUGAUGUGCUGCGUGUCCAUUUCUUAAAUCUCAAGGGACUUAUUCUGCAAUCGUAAUGGAAGUUUUGCUUUUCCUAAGCAAACGGUAAGAACGUGACCGAUGAACAGCUGUAGCCACGAGCAAUGAUCGUCAACAAUUAAGAAGUACUUCAUCAGUGAAUAAGCUGUCCUUCGUGAGACAUGUUACAAGGCUUGCUCUGGGUGUGAGAAACAGCAUAGGGAUAACAUGUUCCUUUUCAAGACGGGCUCUAUUCACACCCUGUGGAAUAUGCCUUCGGAGAAUACACAAAGCAAGUCUUCCUAAGACCUCCUUCGGGACCUCUUCUGAAUCUCAACAUAGAGACACUUCCCUCUCCUCUUGUUAUUUAUUCUUUCCAACAAAUAUUUAUUAAAUGUCUGCCCAUG